rnacentral:rRNA from 1 species
AUACGUAGGUGGCGAGCGUUGUCCGGAAUUACUGGGUGUAAAGGGCGUGUAGGCGGGAUUGCAAGUCAGAUGUGAAAUUCUUGGGCUUAACUCAAGCGCUGCAUCUGAAACUGUGAUUCUUGAGUGCUGGAGAGGAUAGUGGAAUUCCUAGUGUAGCGGUGAAAUGCGUAGAUAUUAGGAGGAACACCAGUGGCGAAGGCGGCUAUCUGGACAGUAACUGACGCUGAGGCGCGAAAGCGUGGGGAGCAAACAGGAUUAGAUACCCUGGUAGUCCACGCUGUAAACGAUGGAUACUAGGUGUAGGAGGUAUCGACCCCUUCUGUGCCGGAGUUAACACAAUAAGUAUCCCACCUGGGGAGUACGGCCGCAAGGUUGA